rnacentral:sRNA from 1 species
ACAGAGAGACAGGUGGUUGAGAUCUCCCUAAUGUGGGCGCUGAGAACUGAACUCAGACCCUCUGCCAAAGCAGCCUUGAAGUGCUCCUAACCAGGGACCAAUCUCUCCAGCCACCCCUACCAAGGCCUUUACGUCAUUCAUUGCCACAGCUGUUUUGGUUGUAAUUAGUGAGAGCUAAGCAGUGUAACGGGGGAUAAAGCAGAGGCUUUGCAGUGAUCCCAGAGUCACUCGUAGUUCCGACCAGCAGGGCUCACCAGGCCUGGACCAAGGAAGCAGAACGCUGUGAGGAACUCGCUGAGUUGUCUCUCUGCUAUGCCCCAGGCUUGAUGUACCUUUGCUGAGCAUGUCUGCAGAGGGGGUCCUCAGCCACUAUAGAUACAAUGCUGGGGUGUGGGGGGCUCCUCAGCAGUGACUCCAGCAUCCGGCAUACGCAUAGCAACAGGAGCUCAUAGAGCAAAUAUACCACCCCAGAAUCACUUCUGUAUAAAUGUGUGGGGGAAGGGUGGCGGAUACAGCUUUGGGAGGUACGAGACAAGGUAGGCACUGAGGCAUGAAGGUAAGAAUACUUCAGGGAACAAGGGCUUUGUCAGUUUAAAGAACUCUCUUUUCGUGCAAGUAUAGCUAGUACACUGAGCAGUCUCCCAGCCCUCCCAUUUUCUCACAAGACUUUGCCAUGUGAUGGCUGUGUCCGCAUAUAAGAACAUUGUGGCCUUCACAUUUAAAACAGAUACUCUUGUAUCCCCAAUGUAGCCCCCUGAAAUAGCUCAAGGCUGAAGCUCCGUGGCUUUAGAGUCUUCCUUAUCCAAAAAUACCAUCUGGUGAGUCUGAGAAGUUAUCGGAGUAAGUACAAGGAUAAUAAUGAGAAAAAUAAAAAUAGAACUCUGGAAGUGGUCCAACGGCCAAGUCGUGCUCGGGAUGCAAUUAGGCAGUUGGAGCGGGGCAUCCAUUUACCCGAGCCACUGGGGCACCAUUGAAGAGAUCCUUACGCCAGUAAAUGAGGGUAAAUGAGCCUCUAGUGACUGGGAAACUUGAGGCUGUUUUCAAAAGUUCUGAUUUGCACCCAGGGAGUACCGGGAAGAAUCUGGGUGGAAUAAAUAACCAGAUAAAUAAUUCAAGAGCAGAGGCUGGGUCAAGAUGGAAGCCGGAAGUGAGAUAGCAGGUGCUGGCGGACGUGCGUUUCAAAGGGUGCUGAGGAGUGAAUCCAAAGCAUUUUACCGGCUCAGCGAGUGCUUUCCUACUGAGCUACGCUACCUCUAUGUGGCUGGAAAAGAACAGCUCUGUGUCCCAGUUGCAGGAGAGCCUGCUCACUUAUAGGGCUAACCUGUCCAUCAGGAAUUGUCUCCUGUGGCCUGAACGGCUUCCAAGUCACUGAGUAGCUGAGGACGACCUUGAACUUCUGGUCCUCGUGCGUCCACCUAAGAUCACAGACAGAGCCCGGCAUAACUGUAUCCUGAGAGGCUUCAAACGGCAGCAGAGGGAGGCAGAUGCAGAGACCCACAGCCAAACAGUAGGUUGGACACAGGGAGUCCUGUGGAAGAGUCCAGGAAUAGGGUUGAGUGAGGGAUCAAGGACACCAAGAGAAGAUCUGCAGGGUCAACUAACUUGGGCCCGUGGGGGCCCACAGAGACUGAACCACAGACCAAAGGGGAUAUAGGGGCUGGACCUAGGCCCCUGACACAUUUGUAGUAAAUGUGCAGCUUGGUCUUCUUCAUGUGGGUCCCCAAACAAAUGGAACACGGGGGCUGCCUUGGACUCUGUUGCCUGCCAUUGGAUUCCCUUCCCUACUUGGACUGCCUGGUUGGGCCUCAGCAGCAGAGGAUGUGCCUAGUCCUGCUGGAACUAGAUGUCCCAGGAUGGGAUGAAACCCAAGGGGGGCUUCCCCUUGUCCUCAGAGACAGGGAGAGAGUAAUGGGGGAGAGAUUUGUAAGGGCAGGACCGGGAGGAAGGGGAAGUCGUGAUUGGGACGUAAAAUGGAUAUAAAAAAAUAAAUUAUUGAAAACAAGUGUUUUGGCGCUGGUUGUAUCCAUGCAAUGCCUUUAAUCCCAGCACUGAGGGCGCAGAGACGAGUGGAAUCCAGGGGUUAAGUAGGGAAACCCUGUCUCAAACCAUCAACAAGAAAACAUUGUUUUGGCAGUUUCACAGCAAUUCUUUGCCCAUCAGUAACUCCUAUUUACUCCAGAGGAAACGUGACAGUGGUGUAGCCUCGCUGGAGAAAGCGAUCGCUGUGGUUGGGCUUCAGUGGUCUACAGCUCCGUCCCACUUCCGCCUUGCUCUCGCUGUUUCCUGUGUGUGGCUCGGGUCUUCUCGCUCAGCUUCCUGUUCCCAGGCCUCCUGUGGCCCUGCCUUUCCCCCACCCUUAUGGAUCUCGAGCCCUCUGGAACCGCAAACUAAAAUGAACUCUGAUAAAUUGCUGUUGGUCAUGGUGAUUUAUCACGGCAACGGAAGCACAACCGAUAGGAGUCUGAACAAAUUGUUUGCUGUUCUCCUGUAGGUGUGCUUCAUAUCUGCUUAAGUCUCGGGUGCCCGUGAGAUAGUUGGGGACCACCAUAGACCAGGGAUGGAUAAAGUUCUAGGCUUUGAUCCAUAACGUGUUGUUACCCACUCAAAAGCAACAGUGUGGUUCGUCCUUAUCCUGCCUUGUCUUUUGACUCAUCUAUGAAAUGUUCUCUUCCCGGCACUGCUACCUUGACGCAGGGUUGCACUGUGAUGUCUCCAGGAAUAAACCAGCCUUUAUAACCAUAACCUAGCAAGCUGAGGUGGUCUU